GAUGAACGCUGGCGGCGUGCCUAAUACAUGCAAGUCGAGCGAACGGACGAGAAGCUUGCUUCUCUGAUGUUAGCGGCGGACGGGUUAGUAACACGUGGAUAACCUACCUAUAAGACUGGGAUAACUUCGGGAAACCGGAGCUAAUACCGGAUAAUAUUUUGAACCGCAUGGUUCAAAAGUGAAAGACGGUCUUGCUGUCACUUAUAGAUGGAUCCGCGCUGCAUUAGCUAGUUGGUAAGGUAACGGCUUACCAAGGCAACGAUGCAUAGCCGACCUGAGAGGGUGAUCGGCCACACUGGAACUGAGACACGGUACAGACUCCUACGGGAGGCAGCAGUAGGGAAUAUUACGCAAUGGGCGAAAGCCUGAAGGAGCAAAGCCGCGUGAGUGAUGAAGGUCUUCGGAUCGUAAAACUCUGUUAUUAGGGAAGAACAUAUGUGUAAGUAACUGUGCACAUCUUGACGGUACAUAAUCAGAAAGACACGGCUAACUACGUG
rnacentral:rRNA from 1 species